UAACCUGUUCUUCCUCUCAGCCAUCCCUUCCUCCCACCCCAAGCCGCACCCCCAUCUACCUACUAACCUCAUCCCACCUCCUUGACCUGUCCGUCUUCCCUGGACUGACCUUUUCUCUCCUCUCCACCUUCGGUCCGCCUCCCCCUCUCUCCCUAUUUAUUCCAGUUCCCUCUCCCCGUCCCCCUCUCUCCCUAUUUAUUCCAGUUCCCUCUCCCCGUCCCCCUCUCUGAUGAAGGGUCUAGGCCCGAAACGUCAGCUUUUGUGCUCCUGAGAUGCUGCUCGGCCUGCUGUGCUCAUCCAGCCUCACAUUUUAUUAUUUUAGGAGAGAGAGCUGUUUUGGUUUGUGAUACAAGAGACGAGGCUGUCUAUGCCUUUCACCCAUCGGUAGCUCUCCUCCUGUCCCUGCCUCUAUGCACACACUCUGCCAGGCAGAGUCUUCCUCCCUCUGUGUGUGUGUCUCUCUCUCGCUUAAGCUCCUAAAACCUAAGAUGCAUCGGAUAUAAAAACACGCACAUAAACACACACACACACACACACACACACACAUCAACAAGCCAUGGAGAAAGAUCAGGAAUUACUGCAAGCUGUCAAAACCGAAGAUGUAGCUGCAAUGCAGAAGCUGUUGCAAAGGCCGAAACAAGGCAAAGCGAAACCAUACAAUUAGACUGUUUUGAUGAGGAACUUAAAGAUUACGAGUCCCGUCCGUUUGACUCAGAGUUUGGUACCAUAGGUUGGUACGAUCUUCGUUGGAGAAGGAAAAGGGAUGUUCCAGAUACAGAAAAUAGUCAAACCAUUUACUACAAAGUCCGUUUCUGACAACAUCAGGUGAAGAUGUGCGUGAUUUCAGCAAGGUGCUGAAAAAUAAGUUCAGAUCAAAGAAACACUUUGCCAAACAUCCUGGCUUGAGUUAUUUACUAGUACAAACAGUUCUAGAAGGCGAGAACCUUGAGAGGACACAAUCAUCGCCUUGGAAGCUUCAUCACGAUACUACUUUGCAUUUCUGAAGAGGGAAGAAGAAAUCAACAUGCAAAUUCAAUUCCAUGGUUUUGGAAGUCCCAUUGAGAACACGAUUCAUUUGCGCCGGCAUAAUGCUCUGACCGAGAAACAAUUGAAGUACCACGCUGAGUAUUGUUAUCCCGAUAGUUCUUUCGUAUCAGUCCGUGUGUAUUCCUGGGCGAAUGUGCUCGUGUGGUCUCAGGAGUUGCGGAGGUCACGGCUCUGGGACAGCCAUUUCAUCGCCCGAUGCUGCAGGAAAAAAGCAAUGAAAGUGCCGUUAAUUUUUUGCAUGGCGAGCUGCUGUAUACUAACCGGUCUCACACCAUUACCAACACCUUGCCCUUGUGAAGGCAGAUAUGGAUCAGGUUCUCAAAGCUGAUAGAAGAUUGAAACCACUCUAAUCCUGUGACGAUGAACCUGCCCCGGAAGAGAGAGCCCAGAGAAUUGCCAAAGCUGUCCGCAAACAGUCAAUAGAAGUGAAGGAAAAUUAGGAACAACUGAAAAUCCGUGCGAGCAACUGGCAGAAACAGGUGGAAAAGGCGUUGGAGAAACUUAAGAACUGCAGAAAGUUCUGGAUGAUCUUGAGGCUCAUGUGAUAACAGCUGAGGGGGUCCACACUGAUUGGCAACCUGUGAGUGACCUGCUUAUUGACUCAUUGCAGGAUCACUUUGAUCAAACCACAGGUAAGGACUAUCUUCAAAAUCUGAGAUUGGGUUUUGAAAGACAGCAGCCUUUGUUUUGGAGAGAUAAUGGGAACUGCAGAUGCUGGAGAAUGCGAGAUAACAACGUGUGGAGCUGGAUGAAGACAGCAGGCCAAGCAGCAUCUUAGGAGCACAAAAGCUGACGUUUCGGGCCAAGAACCACCUUCAGAAAAUGGGGAGGGGGUGCGGGUUCUGAAAUAAAUAGGGAGAGAGGGGGAGGCGGAUGGAAGAUGGAUGGAGGAGAAGAUAGGUGGAGAGGAGAGUAUGGGUACGGAGGCAGGGAGGGGAUAGGUCAG